AUACGUAGGGGGCGAGCGUUGUCCGGAUUUAUUGGGCGUAAAGAGCUCGUAGGCGGCUUGGCAAGUCGGGUGUGAAACCUCCAGGCUCAACCUGGAGACGCCACUCGAUACUGCUAUGGCUAGAGUCCGGUAGGGGACCACGGAAUUCCUGGUGUAGCGGUGAAAUGCGCAGAUAUCAGGAGGAACACCGGUGGCGAAGGCGGUGGUCUGGGCCGGCACUGACGCUGAGGAGCGAAAGCGUGGGUAGCAAACAG
rnacentral:rRNA from 1 species